ACAUGCAAGUCGAGCGAAGCGCUUAACUUGGGAUUUUCUUCGGAAUGACGAGUUUUGUUGACUGAGCGGCGGACGGGUGAGUAACGCGUGGGUAACCUGCCUCACACAGGGGGAAUAACAGUUGGAAACGGCUGCUAAUACCGCAUAAGCGCACGGGGACGCAUGUUUCUGUGUGAAAAACUCCGGUGGUGUGAGAUGGACCCGCGUCUGAUUAGCUAGUUGGUGAGGUAAGGGCUCACCAAGGCGACGAUCAGUAGCCGACCUGAGAGGGUGACCGGCCACAUUGGGACUGAGACACGGCCCAAACUCCUACGGGAGGCAGCAGUGGGGAAUAUUGCACAAUGGGGGAAACCCUGAUGCAGCGACGCCGCGUGAAGGAAGAAGUAUUUCGGUAUGUAAACUUCUAUCAGCAGGGAAGAAAAUGACGGUACCUGACUAAGAAGCCCCGGCUAACUACGUGCC
rnacentral:rRNA from 1 species